CAUUUACGGAGAGUUUGAUCCUGGCUCAGGACGAACGCUGGCGGCGUGCUUAACACAUGCAAGUCGAACGAUGAUGCCCAGCUUGCUGGGUGGAUUAGUGGCGAACGGGUGAGUAACACGUGAGUAACCUGCCCUUGACUUCGGGAUAACUCCGGGAAACCGGGGCUAAUACCGGAUAUGAGCCGUCCUCGCAUGGGGGUGGUUGGAAAGUUUUUCGGUCAGGGAUGGGCUCGCGGCCUAUCAGCUUGUUGGUGGGGUGA
rnacentral:rRNA from 1 species